AAUAUUGUAAUAUUGAUGUGAAUUAUUGCCACAUUUCUUAAUUCUUAUUGACAGUUGACACUUCAUUGACAACUGACAAGUCGUGUCAACUAUCACACGAAGUGAAGUUCUCAAUCAAAUUACGGAAAUUGUAUAUUUAUUUUCUUUUAUAAAGUUAGAAAUCAGCCAAUACUACCUCGUUUUAUGUGGUAAAUUAGCUAUAAUUAUUGAAAAGAAUGACUACCUCAACUCCUGAUGGUGCAGAUAAUUACGAUCAGUUUGAUGACGACGAUACUGAACAGCAACUGGGUGCAACAGCAUCUGGUCGGAAAAGGCUAUUUAGUAAGGAAUUACGAUGUAUGAUGUACGGUUUUGGAGAUGAU